UAAGCUUGUUCUGAAUCCCCUUUCCGGGGUGAGAAGAGGCAGGAUAUAAAUGCAGAGAUUCUUCUUCUCGAGGAAAUUCAAGAACAUCCUCCUUCGUGUCUCCUCAGCGCUCGACUGACGAGAAUCCCGCGCGGCGUGAUGUCCUCAGCGUCAUUCCGCGUGGCCACGCCCCCUCGGCUAAUCUAACCAAUCGGAUUGAACCAGCUGCUUCAAUUUCAUUGGCCGCCGCUUCCCGCUCAGCCCAAGCGCCCUGGCAAAAUGGCGGCCGAAUGUUUUGCUCCUUUCUGUCAUCCGUGGAUCCCAUUUUGGGUCUUCAUCUUGCCCUUUUGGGGCCUUCUUGAAACAUGCCUUCUAUGCCAUCAUUCCAGCCGUUGAUAAAGAUGGUGACUAGCCUUUUGUUCAUUUUAUUUAUAGCAAACCUUUUUUUCCCAUUCAGUAAACCAUAACAGCCAAAUCCUAUAAUCUGGACAACACCUCCCAACAAAGGAUCCCCCCAAAUAUGAAUGUUGCAGUUGGCCAGUUUGAUUGAAUGGCCUUGCAGCUUCAGACCCUGGUUGCCUCCUGCCUGGGGGAAUCCUUUGCGGGGAAGUGUUAGCUGGCCCUGGUUGUUUCUUGGCUCGAAUUCCCCUGUCUUCUGAGAGUUGUUCUUUAUUUAUUGUCCUGAUUUUAGAGGGUUUUUUAAAAUUGUGUUCAUUUUCAUAGUUCCCGCCUUUCUAUUGAAAAUCCGCCUCUUUUCUCAUCUGCUAGACUGAUAAAUUUAAUUAGACAGAUGAAUGAAUACAUUAAUAAACAUAGACAGAUGAAUGAAUACAUUAAUAAAGAUAAGAAAAAACUAGUACAAGACGAUGUACCAAUCACGCAACAAAAACUGUCCAAAUGCUAUAAAAAUCUAUCUGAUAACUGCAGGCUUUGAAGCUGCAAGGCCGUUCAAUAUACAAUAGAGUCUCACUUAUCCAAGGUUCUGGAUUAUCCAUUGCAUUUUUGUAGUCAACGUUUUCAAUAUAUCGUGAUAUUUUGGUGCUAAUUCCCCCCCAGGCAGGACGCAGCCAGGCUUUGAAGCUGCAAGGCCGUUCAAUAUACAAUAGAGUCUCACUUAUCCAAGGUUCUGGAUUAUCCAAUGCAUUUUUGUAGUCAACGUUUUCAAUAUAUCGUGAUAUUUUGGUGCUAAUUCCCCCCCAGGCAGGACACAGCCAGGCUUUGAAGCUGCAAGGCCGUUCAAUAUACAAUAGAGUCUCACUUAUCCAAGACUCGCUUAUCCAAGAUUCUGGAUUAUCCAAUGCAUUUUUGUAGUAAACGUUUUCGAUAUAUCGUGAUAUUUUGGUACUAAAUUCGUAAAUACAGUAAUUACAACAUGACAUUACUGCGCAUUGAACUACUUUUUCUGUCAAAUUUGUUGUAUAACAUGAUGUUUUGGUGCUUAAUUUGUAAAAUCAUAACCUAAUUUGAUGUUUAAUAGGCUUUUCCUUAAUCCCUCCAUAUUAUCCAAGAUAUUCGCUUAUCAAAGUUUCUGCCAUCCUUUUUAGCUUGGAUAAGUGAGACUCUACUGUAUGUAUUUUAUUCUGUAUUAUUGUAUCUAUCUGGGCUUGGCCCCAUGUUCGGGGGGAGAUGGAGGCAGGAUACAAAAAUAAAAUUAUUAUUAUUAUUGCU
rnacentral:lncRNA from 11 species